rnacentral:rRNA from 1 species
CGCAUCUGUGCACUGCAGCAUAUCAAUAAGCGGAGGAAAAGAAACUAACAAGGAUUCCCUUAGUAACGGCGAGUGAAGCGGGAAGAGCUCAAAUUUGAAAUCUUCAAGGUUUUACCUUGACGAAUUGUAGUUUAAAGAAGUGUUUUCUGUUGAAGUUUUGGUAAAAGUUCUUUGGAAUAGGACAUCAUAGAGGGUGAGAAUCCCGUAUUUGACCAUUAUUUUCAGCUGUGUGAUACACUUUCAAAGAGUCGGAUUGUUUGGGAAUGCAGUCCAAAAUGGGUGGUAAAUUUCAUCUAAAGCUAAAUAUUGGCGAGAGACCGAUAGCGAACAAGUACCGUGAGGGAAAGAUGAAAAGAACUUUGAAAAGAGAGUUAAACAGUACGUGAAAUUGUCAAAAGGGAAGCGUUUGACACCAGUGUUGUUUUCUCGAAAAUCAAUUAAAAAGAGUUAGAUUUUGUUGUGUAUUGACCUUAACAGCUUGCAUUUCAAUUUUCUUGCUUUUUUUAAUGCACUUUUCGUUUAACAAGUCAACAUCAGUUUCUUUUGUUGUAAAAAGGUCAUUGGAAGGUGGCUUGCUUUUCGGAGAAAGUGUUUAUAGCCUUUGACUCCUGCAAUCGGAGAGACUGAGGUCUGCAGCGUAGAUCCUUCGGGGUUAGAUACAUUUGUGCUAAGUUAUAGCUUUUUAUAGACAACUUGUUGACUAUGAUUAGUCUUGUAGCUUACUCGCUUAUGCUAUUUUACCUACGCUUAGGAUGUUGACACACGCGCGUGCUCG